AUUUCGAAAGUGAAAACAAUACAAUUUUCUACAAAAUGUGAAAUGGAGGUGUUACUGUGGAGUUUUGGAAUAGAGAGAAGACAAAACGGAGC